GAGAAUCUACCUUCAGGUUGGGGACAACCACUGGAAACGGUGGCUAAUACCGAAUGUGCCGAGAGGUGAAAGGCUUGCUGCCUGAAGAAGAGCUUGCGUCUGAUUAGCUAGUUGGUGGGGUAAGAGCCUACCAAGGCGACGAUCAGUAGCUGGUCUGAGAGGAUGAUCAGCCACACUGGGACUGAGACACGGCCCAGACUCCUACGGGAGGCAGCAGUGGGGAAUUUUCCGCAAUGGGCGAAAGCCUGACGGAGCAAUACCGCGUGAGGGAGGAAGGCUCUUGGGUUGUAAACCUCUUUUCUCAGGGAAGAAGAAAGUGACGGUACCUGAGGAAUAAGCAUCGGCUAACUCCGUGCCAGCAGCCGCGGUAAUACGGAGGAUGCAAGCGUUAUCCGGAAUGAUUGGGCGUAAAGGGUCCGCAGGUGGCAUUGUAAGUCUGCUGUUAAAGAGUCACGCUCAACCUGAUAAAAGCAGUGGAAACUACAAAGCUAGAGUGUGGUCGGGGCAGAGGGAAUUCCUGGUGUAGCGGUGAAAUGCGUAGAUAUCAGGAAGAACAUCGGUGGCGAAGGCGCUCUGCUAGGCCAAAACUGACACUGAGGGACGAAAGCUAGGGGAGCGAAU
rnacentral:rRNA from 20 species